UGGGCUGGUCGAGAGACCCGGGUCCACCACCGGCGGGGAAAUUCCCC
rnacentral:sRNA from 1 species